AAACAAUCAAAGCACACGACAAACUGAGUUAUUGACUCCCAAAAGAAUUAACCGAUUCUGAACAGCUGAAACGAGUCGUUAGUGAUUCCAGACUCACUGACAGCGGUAGACCCAUCACAACAGACUGGGACAUCUGACCAAUCAGAGCAGAGUAUGCACUCAGAAAGGAGGAGUUUAGAAUGAAUCUUUUAGAACGGAUCAUUGAACGAGUCGUUUGUGACACUGGGGGGAAAAGGAGAUCAGCUAGUCUAGCACCAACAACUAUGUCACAGUCAAAGUCCAAUCAGAUGUCUGAUGUGAUUAUUAACUGAAGAUCUACAUGACUUUCUGCACUGCGUUGCUGCCACACGACUGGCUGAUUGAACUACACUGAUGAGCAGAUGUACACAUGUUCCUAAUAAAGUGAAUGGGUCACAAGAGAGCCUGGAGCCUAUCCCAGGGGACUCGGGGCACAAGGCGGGGGACACCCUGGACGAGGUGCCAACCCAUCGCAGGGCACAAUCACACACCUAUUCACAUACACUACAGAUAAUUUGGAAAUGCAACGCAACCAACUUACAACGUGUGUCUUUGGACUGGGGGAGGAAACCAGAGUACCCAGAGGAAACCCCCGAAGCACGGGCAGAACACGCAAGCUCCGUGCGCACAGGGCCAAGGCAGGAUUCGAACCCCCAACCCCAGAGAUGCGAGGCAAUCCACUAAGCCACCGUGCCCCCCCUACUCAUUAUUAAUUACUAUAAAACAAAUCUAAGAUUAAACCUAUUUCUAUUAAAGUAAUUUCAAAAGCAGUCUUUUUGUAUUGCCAGAUAGU